rnacentral:rRNA from 1 species
UACAGAGGGGGCAAGCGUUAUUCGGAAUUAUUGGGCGUAACGGGCGCGUAGGCGGUUUUUUAAGUCGGAUGUGCAAUCCCCAGGCUCAACCUGGGAGCUGCAUCCGAGACUGGAAGGCUAGAGUACUGGAGAGGGUGGUGGAAUUCCUCGUGUAGCGGUGAAAUGCGUAGAGAUGAGGAGGAACACCAGUGGCGAAGGCGGCCACCUGGGCCGUAACUGACGCUGAGGAGCGAAAGCAUGGGGAGCGAACAGG